CAACUGAUUUCCAGCCAGAUGGGAGGUUGAGCCACAUGGUGAAAAUAUAUCAGCACAGCAAAAAGCUAUCUCGCGUGAUAGAUGGAGGAUUUCCACACAAAUUCAUCAUCUGUCUGCAUCCAUCUCCCUGUCUUACUGUUUUGGCAAAUUCAACAACAGACAGAGAUAAUUAAUUGGUCUAAGUUCUCAUCUUCAUGCAAAGAGGCUCUUUGGUGCUGUGUUCUGGGCUCCACGGCACAAAUGUGUGAAAUCAGAAGCUGAACGCGGCGCGGGAUCAGACGAAACGAAGGCAAGGCUGGAAUGGUGGAAUUGGAGUCUUACAUGGCUUGACACUGAUUUCUAUCUGAGCUGCGUGUUGUUGCAGAUGUUGGCGUUGAUGCUUCACAGGAAGAAGGUCCAAGGUUUUUUUUCUGGCCAGGGCAUUUCUCCAUGGAGUCAUAAAACAAUCCGUGAAAGACCUGAGUUACUGUCUGGACUGAAGGAUGAAGAAAUCACGUAUAUAGAAGCUGCUUGACAGCAUGAAGCAGGGAACAGGCGAUGGCGAAAGGCUCAUCUUGUGGGCGGCCUGGACCUGGGUGGAGCUCUCUCUCUCUCUCGCACACAUGAUGGAAUAACCUCGCCUGCAACCUCACUGAUGAUGUUAAGUCCCUGACUGAGAGGUCAACGCAGUGGUGUUGAGGAAUCCUGUGUGUCUAACUUUAAUUUAUUCUCUCGCCGACUCCGGUGACCUUCCCGGGAAAAAUUCCUGCUCUUUGGAUCAGUAUCAAAUACUUCCACUUUAAUGAAAAAGCCUCUUGGUUUCACACACGCGCGUGACGCCCGCUUGGAUAAACACACAGUUCAUACAAAUGCAUCGCCCACUUGGUAUGCACAGGAGCAGCAAUGAUUAUUGUGCAGGUUUGUAGGCAUUAUGCUCACAUCUCUCCAGUAAACAGAGCUCAUGAAAUCCCUUUGUGUCAAUUAGUAUUUUGAAAGCAUCCAGAUCCAGCAUUGUGCUUUACUUACAGUCUUGAAUUAAUUAAGUUAAACACUAUUGAGAGAGAGCUGCAAAUAUGAAUAAAAUGCACCAAAACAAAUAAUGAAGUGACUGUGUACUUUAAUGUUGCUCGUAAAGGUGUUUAUGUCUUUUGACCAAGCAACCCAGCAGCAGAGACAUAAAGCCGAGUAACGUGACUUAAUCGAGUUUCUGAUUUAAUGACAUCGUCUCGACUUAAUGGCUUUAGGGAAGACUUUGGACUUGACUUGGAUUUCCACACCAAUGGCUUAUGACUUGUCUUGGACCUAAACCGCUGACUUGAAGAGACUUGUUAUCUUACAUCAAACAGAAUGUGUGUUGCAAAAGGAAAAGUGCCAGGCACAGAACCGUGGAACCAUGCCAGGCUCACAAUCCCGCUGAGGCCCCCUGCUGUUUGCCAAUAAUUCCUCCUCUUGUUACAAGAAGCAUGCUGCAUCUGCUUCGCUCUUUACCUGCUCUCCUUCUACAUCCUACCCUGAUGGCAGAAACACAGAUUCUGGUAGAGAAAAUAUUAAUAAUAAUAAUAAAAAAAGGCUUUUAUAUGAGGCAUCAUAUAAAAUGCAUGUAAACAGGCAACUCUGAGCCACAUUGUUCAGGCACUUUCAGUGAGAUUUUAAAUCUAGGCAAAGGCCGGAGUCUCAGACUGAGAGUCAUUUGAGGGCUGCAAGCAGCCAUUCAGUGUUAAUGCAGGAAGCCAGAGUAUGUGGGUAUUGUGUUUGGUGACAGAGAAAAAGAAAAGACAGAGAACAACCAUGAUGCCUUCCCUGAAAAAAUGAAAAUAAAGAAAAGCAAAAAGUAUAACUUAUAAUAUCUCCUCUUCCCUUUCCUGCAAAGAAUGUUCUCUGUCUUUACUAUUUCGGCUUAAUCAGUACAUCACACAUCCAAUCCAUGCAAUGCUCCAGUGUUACAGCUUGGUGUGUUUAUUCAAUCAUUUAUGAUUCCCCAUGCAAAUCUGUAAAAUGCAACAACGUUUUUCUCUGUUCUGUGUUUUACUAC